ensembl:snRNA U6 U6 spliceosomal RNA
GUGUUUGCUUUGACAAAUGCAUGCACUCAAAUUGGAAUGACACAGAGAAUAGCAUGGCCCUGUACCAGGACAACACGACAUACAGAGAAGAUACAAAGACCUGC